UGUAUAGAUAACGUAGAGUAUAAAUCCAGUUUUGCACACAGUACUUAGAUGCGAUGAGCACGAGUCUUAAACGUGGAGUAAAUAAAAAGCCGGGAUAGGCAUGUUAUCACCAUUGAAGAACCAAUUUGACACGAAAGAAAACAAUUAUAUACAAUAAUGGACAAGCCAGGUUCUAAUAGAAAACCUUGUUGUGCUGUGGCUUCUGACUCGAGAAAACAAUGUUGUAUUGAGAAUAAAUGCUGUGAAGAAGAAAAAAAACAAGAAAGCUGCUGCGUCGCCAAAAGACGAGAUAGAUGUAAAGAGGGCGCUGCUUGCUGCAAGUCAGCUGAACCAGACUGCCGUAACGAGAGAGAGAAAUGUCAGUGUAAACCAUAAAACUGCAAAUGAGUUAAUUAAAGUGAAUCUAUAUCUGUAAAGUUUUAAAUAAUAUAUGUAAAAAAGAUAAUAAAAAUAAGUUUUGAAUUCG